CGGGAACUUUGGGCAAUGGGCGAAAGCCUGACCCAGCAACGCCGCGUGAGGGAUGAAGUAUUUCGGUAUGUAAACCUCGAAAGAAUGGGAAGAAUAAAUGACGGUACCAUUUAUAAGCUCCGGCUAACUACGUGCCAGCAGCCGCGGUAAUACGUAGGGAGCAAGCGUUGUUCGGAUUUACUGGGCGUAAAGGGCGCGUAGGCGGCGCGGUAAGUCACUUGUGAAAUCUCUGAGCUUAACUCAGAACGGCCAAGUGAUACUGCUGUGCUAGAGUGCGGAAGAGGCAACCGGAAUUCUUGGUGUAGCGGUGAAAUGCGUAGAUAUCAAGAGGAACACCUGAGGCGAAGGCGGGUUGCUGGGCCGACACUGACGCUGAUGCGCGAAAGCCAGGGGAGCAAACG
rnacentral:rRNA from 1 species